rnacentral:lncRNA from 1 species
GGAUCCAAAGUUUUGGGUGUAUAGCAGUAAACAGUCUAUCUGGCGUGCUGUUAUUCGCCUAAAUGAUUAUUUUAGAGCAUACGUGUGGGUGUAUAGUAACCACCACUUGAGUUAGUAAGAAUUUGAUUUCAUGAUAUCUUGCUAUAUUAAAGAGACGUUCAUGUUAAGAGAUAAAAAGGAAAUAUGGGAUGAGUAUUAGCCAAAGGUAUAGUAUGCUUGGUUUGUAGGAAAUAAUGUGCUAGUUAGACUUUAAGUAAUCUG